rnacentral:rRNA from 1 species
UGAGGGAUGACGGCCUUCGGGUUGUAAACCUCUUUCAGCAGGGAAGAAGCGAAAGUGACGGUACCUGCAGAAGAAGCGCCGGCUAACUACGUGCCAGCAGCCGCGGUAAUACGUAGGGUGCGAGCGUUGUCCGGAAUUAUUGGGCAUAAAGAGCUCGUAGGCGGCUUGUCACGUCGGUUGUGAAAGCCCGGGGCUUAACCCCGGGUCUGCAGUCGAUACGGGCAGGCUAGAGUUCGGUAGGGGAGAUCGGAAUUCCUGGUGUAGCGGUGAAAUGCGCAGAUAUCAGGAGGAACACCGGUGGCGAAGGCGGAUCUCUGGGCCGAUACUGACGCUGAGGAGCGAAAGCGUGGGGAGCGAACAGGAUUAGAUACCCUGGUAGUCCACGCCGUAAACGG